rnacentral:ncRNA from 1 species
UGCCUGGUCGGAAACCAGGCCAACAGAAGGAG